CGGAGGGUGCGAGCGUUGUCCGGAAUCAUUGGGCGUAAAGGGCGCGUAGGUGGCCCGGCAAGCGUGCGGUGAAAGCUCGGGGCUCAACCCCGAGUCGGCCGUGCGAACUGCUGGGCUCGAGCACUGUAGAGGCAGGCGGAAUUCCGGGUGUAGCGGUGGAAUGCGUAGAGAUCCGGAAGAACACCGGUGGCGAAGGCGGCCUGCUGGGCAGUGGCUGACACUGAGGCGCGACAGCGUGGGGAGCAAACAGGAUUAGAUACCCUGGUAGUCCACGCCGUAAACGAUGGGCACUAGGCGCUUGGGGGAGCGACCCUCCGAGGGCCGGCGCUAACGCAUUAAGUGCCCCGCCUGGGGAGUACGGCCGCAAGGCUG
rnacentral:rRNA from 1 species